rnacentral:rRNA from 1 species
GACGAACGCUGGCGGCGUGCUUAACACAUGCAAGUCGAACGGACAGGCCCUGCUUUUGUGUGUUGCUCGUUUGGCGCACGCGUGAGUAACACGUGUGUAACCUGCCCUUUACUUUGUGAUAACUUUACGAAACUGCGGCUCUUACCGCAUAUGAUCUUCUGCUGCAUGGUGUGCGUUGGUAAGUUUCGGCGUUUGUGUAUGUACUCGCUGCUUAUCCGCUUGUUGGUGUGGUAGUGGCUUACCAAGGCUUUGACGGGUAGCCGGCCUGAGAGGGUUACCGGCGACAUGGGGACUGAGAGAGGGACCAGAAGGCUACGGGAGGCAGCAGGGGAGAAUAUUGCAGAAUGGGGGGAAGUCUGAUGCAGAAACGCUGGGAGCGGGAUGACGGCCUACGGGGGGUAAACAGAUGUCGAAGGUGACGAAGAGUGAGUGACGGUAAUGGGUAAAGAAGCACCGGCUAACUACGUG